AGAAGAAGAAGAAGAAGAAGAAGAAGAAGAAGAAGAAGAAGAGAUGGAGGACAAGGAGGAGGAGGAAGAGGAGAGCAAGGUAACUGAAGACAAGAACACUACUAAUAAGAAAGAAGAGAAGAAGAAGAAGAAGAAGAAGAGGGAAGAAGAGGAAAAUGAAAAGAUGACGAAGAAGAAAAGAAGAAGAAGAAGAAGAAGAAGAAGAAGAAGAAGAGAAAAAUAAGAACAAGAAUGAAAAACAAGAACACGAUACCUCCUCCUCCUCCUCCUCCUCCUCCUCCUCCUCCUUCCCUCCUUGCAAAAAAAUGACUAAAGUAAGAAUUUUUAACAAGAUUUUCACAAUAGACCUACUGAGGGAAGUGCUUAGGCCUAAAGGAUUGUGGAAACCAUUGCCUAGACCUAUGGGAACUCAGAAAAAGGCAGAAAAGGAAGAAAAGAGGAAGACCACGAGGAAACAAGAAGAAGAAGAAGAAGAAGAAGAAGAAGAAGAAGAGGGAGAGAUAAUGAUUCCCAGAAAGAAGAUAGAGAAAAAGACAGAAAUAUUUAUCCAGUCUGUUAUAAGAAGCAUGUACAGAAACACAGUGAUAGAGGACGCGGAGGUUCGGCCCGCCAUACGCGUUGUGAAGGGUCCAGCCACGGUGCAUCUGUCCAGGCUGGCUGCCGCUAUUGCCCUCUCCCACACUAAUGCUACUGCUGGUGGUGGUGGUGGUGGUGGUGGUGGUGGUGGUG